rnacentral:lncRNA from 1 species
UUUUUCACAGGUCUAACAUGCUGGACAUGUCCAGAGAUGUAUAGUAAUCAAGAAUGCAAUGAUUGGGCACCAGAUAUUCCCUGUCCACAAAGUAUGUAUUCGCAGACCAAUAACCCCUAUUAGCAUAUUACUUAUUGAAUAUAAUUUAUGACAAAAGCAAAUGAUACGUUCAGAUUGUGCAUGCAAAAUUAAUACUGUUAUUCUCUUUCUAUAUUGAUAAUGAUAAUGACAAUGGAGGUCACUGAUAUUUUUUUUUUAUUUGAUAAACGCCUAGUAUCAAUGUUCAAUUUGAAUCAAAUAUUCUGAAUAAAUCAUUAGUUUUAUUAAAUGAAGAUUGAAUUGACAGAACAUUGUAUUUUGAAGACAUGAUAAAAUAAAAACAAUAUUUUGAUUGAUAAUUUAUGAAAAAGAUCUGAAUUGAAGCAAAAAACAGUACUUUUCAGAGAUAUUUUAUUUAAUGAAAAAAUAUGGUCGGUACUUUAUCAAAUUCUUCUCUUGUUAAUAUUUUUGUAGUUAUAUUCAAAUAUAUUUAUAUACAUGUACUAGUAUGUGAUUAGAGUAUGGUAUAAUGCGAACCUAAUAAGUAAGUUUGUGUCGCCAUUUUAUGUACACAAACUAGUAUGCUAUAAUUUUAGCCAGAGUUAAGAACUAACAGGACACCUUGAGUUGUAUCCAUUAAAUUAAAUCUGGCGCCAUUUCUUUACCAAUUAUCAUAGUUCUCCAUAAGAAAAACAAUAUUUGCAGUUUUUCUCUCAUGCUAUAUUGUAGUUUAUUAUACAUAAUGACGGACCUUUUCAAUGUAAGUGUCAUACUAAGACAGGAGCUUGUAAUUCAGUGGUUGCCGUUUUAUGCUGUUUAUCACAUUUGUUUUUUCGUUCAUUAUUUUGUAUAUAAAUCAGGUUUUUCGUUUCUCGUUUAAACAGUUUUAUAUUUGUCAUUUAGAGGCAUUUUAUAGUCGACUAUGCGGUAUGGGUUUUGCUCAUUGAUGAAGACCGUACAAUUAUCCAAAAAAGUUGAUUAUUUCUAUGUUAUUUGGUCUUUAGUUGAGAGUUGUCUCAUUGACAAUCAUACCACUUCUUUUUAUUCGUACAUUUGUCGCCAAAAAUAUAUUUUUAUUAAAACAAUAAAUUAUUGAACAUCUUAUCUGGUAAGAUUAUUUUACUUUAAUGAUAUGUAUUAUUGCGUUGUAUGAAAACGAUUGAACGAAUUGAUGAUUGUUUUCUUCAAAUUUGUCACAGUGACUUAUUUGACAUUAAUAUGAUUUUGAUCAUUUAUUUGCAGAUAAAACUACAUGUGCAACAAUUCAUAGAUUCAAUACAAGUAGCAAAGUCAGCACAAGAGUAACCAAAUCAUGUGUGCUUCCUUUGGAAUGUGAUAAGUCGGUUGUUGGGUGCAUAACAAGAGAUGGCGCCACGGUACGAUAUCCAAUAUUAAGUCGUCCUGAAUAUGCAUGAAACAUUUGCCACUGGACGUUAAGCAACCAACAAUCAAUCAAUCCCAUAUUAAGAAUUUAUUAAUCAAUUAAAUGAUUGAUUCAUGUCCAAUCCUGAAGACUAUAAUCGUUGACCUCUAGCUUAUGAUAGGUCAAACAUACGACAAAGCAUUGAUUUACAAUCUUCUAUACUUAAGAAUGUUCCAUAUAUUCUAGCUGACAUAAAAAAAAUCACCACUCUCUCUUCUAAGAAUACAUGAAGAAAGAAAGAUAUUAUGAAGAUUUGCUUUAAAGGGUAAUUUUUUUUUGACAAAUGAUAUAAAAACCUCAAAUGUGUAGCCUUCAACUACAAUCAAACGUUCAUUUGAAAAAAAUUGGCAUUAAUUUAUGUUAAAAAACAUUAAUUAAGCAUCCAUACAUUAAUGAACCAUUAAAACCGGUAAAAAAAUAGUUUUAUGAUAAAUGAAUUAAUAAACAAAACGCAAAUGAAUAAAAUAUCCAUAUAUGUUAAUUUGUUUAAGAUUUUUUCCCCUAUGUCAAAAAGACCAGAAUGCUGGAUUUGUUGAUCGACAAAAUCGUGUUUGAUCGAUUGAUACGUCAACCAGGGACUUUCUAUACUAAGUAUACUAUUUUAGUAUAGGGAGUCCCUGCAUCAACAGACAAUCGAUUGAUGUCUUUAAAUAGACAAUCGGUAUUUAUUUCAAUUUGGAAAAUUUAAAUAAACCUGGUAGAUGUCUUGUUAAUUGUUUACAAAUAAUUCGAAAGUAUGUUGAGAAAAUGUCGUGUCAUGGUAAAAAUAAAGUAAAUUGAAACAAUCUUAUUUUUAAAUCUUGUAGAUUAUAUACAAGUAUCAUGCAUGGCAUUCAAUGUUAUUAAACAAAACUCUUACUAUUUGAAUUUAAAAGAAAGGGAGAGGUGCAAAGGAGGGAACAACAACCAUAAGUUCUAUAAAUAUAGAUAUCAACUAUAAAAAGUCUAUGAGCAGAAAAAAAAACAACAAAAAAACCUAAUAGAUGUGGCAAGACGGACCCCGGCAAAUCUGCAGUCGAACUAAGUUGCUCUGGCAGGGUAAUCACUUCCUGCUACUAAAUUAUAUCGUCGUACCCUCUGACGAUACAAUAUAAAAUAAAAUUCGGUUAUUUACAUACAGUAUAUUCCCCUCCAGAAAUCAAAUGUUGUUUAAAAAAGAGGGACGAAAGGGACAGUCAAACUCAUAAAUCUAAAACAAACUGGCAACGCCAUGGCUAAAAAUGAAAAAAGACAAACAAACAACAGCACACAUAACACAACAUAGAAAACUAAAGAAUAAACAACACGAACCCCACCAAAAAACUAGGGGUGAUCUCAGGUCCUCCGGAAGGGUAAGCAGAUCCUGCUCCACAUGUGGCACCCGUCGUGUUGCUUAUGUGAUAACAAAUCCGGUAAAUAGUCUAAUUCGGUAGGUCACGUUCCUGAAAGGGAAGGGGAUUGUAGUUUCGACGUAAGGAACAUAUCCGAUAUCAUUUGUGAAACGGUUAUUCCAUAACGGUCAACCAACUCGUGAUGGCGUCCGUAAAAUUUACGAAGGGAGGAUUUCAACUUCACCAUUUGGAACUCUUGGUUUAAUAGCUUCCUUGUGAGCAGCUUGUUAAUGUUUCUAUAGAUAUAACGGCCUUCCAAACACUUUUAGAUUCCUAACAUCACUGAAGAGACAUUAAUUGUCGAUAUCCGGAUAUGGUGUAAAAAAAUUAAGAACUUUUACAAUAAUUUGCAAAGUCCUUUAAUUGGACUCUCGUUUAGAAUUGAAUAUUUAUAUGAACUCUUAUUCAAUUUGAAACGAUAGUUCAUAUAAAUAUUCAAUUCAAAACGAGAGUUCAUAUAAAGCACUUUGCAAAUUAUUUAAAAGUUCUUGAAGUCACUUUCCUUCCGGUUAUAUAGCUCUCAAUUUUUUUAACUGUAAUGUGCUAAUCAGAUUUAUAAUCAAAUGUUUACAUACAUAACUAUUUCCAACUAAUCAGUUUGUUAAACCAUAAUAUUGUGUUUACAUUCGACUUUUACAUGUUUUACAUGAAUGAAAUAUCUUUCCUAAUCUUGUAAUUUGAUUGCAAUGGUUACCGUUGACAAGGGAUAUAAUUAAGUCCUUAUCCUCAGUGAACAGCAACGAAGAUCAGAAGGGUAACCUUUUUAUUGAAAUCCAAUAACCCAAAUAUGAAUAUUGUUGUUAUUAGGGAUUCACAGGGAAUAUGACCAGAGCAGGGGAUAUAAACACAUAAGUAAAUGCCUUAAUAUAACACAAUUAAAGUACUUAGGCAGCAACCAUUUGAUUUUCUGGGGGGGGGCUAUGGUUUUUUUUUCUGGACAAAUUUUUUUUCUCGCCUGCGGCGAAAAACAAUCUAUUUUUUUCGCGACAAGCCGAAAACAAUUUUUUUCUUUCAAUUUUAGCAUUACAUAUAGUGGCAGCUGAGGUGAAACAAACAAUUUUUUUUUCUCAGAAUCAAAAAACAAAUUAUUUUUUCUCCAAAAACUGGAAACAAACUUUUUUUUCCAAAAAAAACAUAGCCCCCCCCCCCCCCCAGAAAAUCAAAUGGUUGCUGCCUUAACUCGCAUUUUUGAAAAGAAAAAAAAAACAAAUUUCAAGUUCCAAUCCGUUGUGGGUAAAUGAAAUAAUUACGCUUGAUAUACUUAGGAAGGUUUACUACGAAUGAUUCAGGAAACAAAUAUAGGCGUGUUAUACACCAAUGUGUAGAUAAAUCAACUUAUAUUAACGGCAUAACACGUUUUAGUGCGGUUGACAUCUGAGAAAUCGAAAUAUAACAAAAGUUAGCGACUGGGUGUCAUUUAAAAAAAAAUGCGAGUUAAGUACCUUGUACUAUACCAAGGUAUAUUAGGGGGGAUGUUUCAGAGACACGUGCCUGAGUUAUAACACACUGGCAGUGAUCACGAUCUCUCUAUCCAAUGUGAAGAUCUAACUUUUUAUGCUAACAUAUAAGAUAUAUCAUAGUUUAAACAUAUUAUUUAUUGUGGAUUGGGAACAAGUUAUAUUGAACUUAUAUCAAUCACUUUCCAAGUUGCGGGUGCGAGUGCUGCCUUGUACAUGUGGCAGCAAUAGCCUGAUCUUUUCCGAAAUCUACAAGGGUAUUUUACGUGCAAGAUAAAUGGCUGGUCUCUCUGAACACGGGUCAGCCAUUUAUCGUCCCCUUAUAAUGUACAGAGUGAGCCUUUACAAAUGAGAUGUAUAAUUUUUAAAUUCAAUAUUGUUAUUUUUUUUUUAGGAAUGUACCUCCUGUUGUACUGAGUCAUAUUGUAACAAACACAUUCCAACAGACGACCGAUCGGCCAGUCAGCUGACAUCAAACUCUAUAUCGUCUGCGCCAUCUUUACCGCGGAAUUCAGGGCUAUAUUUGACAUUGAUUGUUUACUGCUUAUCUUAGUUAAUUUGUAUCUAAUGAUCGAUAGAGAUAUCAUAUGUACCGGGAAAAGAAUUUAUAAAAUGUGCAAUAUAUUUUCUUGAUUGUUAUCAAAUUUUAAUUGUGUUUGGAUUAACGAACAGUGCGUCUUGGUAACAAAUUUAAAUGUCUUUUACUUUGUACAGAUGUAAGGGGUCAUAUAAAGUAUAUAAAUAUAAUGUAUAGA